UCUCUCUCUCUCUCUCUCUCUCUAUCAAUAAAUCCGUAUAUCCUGUUUCCUCUCUCACAAUGUCCAUUUCGUGUUCCUUUCUUCUCCCUUUAUUCUGUUCCACGUUCCGUCAAAUGUUCCGUGUUCCUUCUAUUCCUUUUCCUCCUUCCUACGACUGUUCCUUAAGGUUCCGCGUGUUUCUAAAGGAGUCUGCUGUGUUCCUCUCUGUUCCACGUUCAUUACCGUGUUCCGUGCCCUUCCCGUACCCUUGUUCCGUGAGUCUAAGUGUUCCGUAAGGUUCCGUAAAAGUUCAUGAAUUCUCCAAAACCACAUCGACCUCCUCCGUCAACCCAUAUGUUCCGUCCAAUCUUCUGACCCCGUCCAGUGUUCCGCAAGUGUUCCUGACGUGCCUUUGUCGCCGAAAUUGCUUGUGAAGUGUUCCGUGGUGUUACUUGAGAGCAUUGCGGAGUUACGUAAGUGUUCCACCGCCAUUAAAAGUGUUAUAUGAGUGAUGACUGGUGUUCCAAGUGCUUCGUUGUGUUACUUUAAGUGUUGCGGAAGUCAAUAUAUUUACUGUUGACGUUCCCCGUGUUUGAAGUGUUCCGUAGUGUUACUUGAAGUGCUGCGGAACUUAAUAAGGGCGUUUGAAGUGUUCCAUAAUGCUACUUAAGGGGUUUCAAAACUCUUUUAAAUGUACUAAUGGCGUUCUCUGUAUUCCAAGUGUUCCGCAGUGUUACUUAAAGUGUUGCGGAACGGUGUAAGUGUACUGCUGGUGUUCUUGCUACACUCUAAAGGAUUCUACACUUAUAAAACACUUGUGAAAAGGUUAAAAAAGUGUAUAUUAAGCACUCAAAAGUGUACAGUAGCAUCCACCACUUAAGAAGCUUGUAAAGUGCUACUCAUAUUUUUUUUCAUUUUCGUUAAGUGUAAGUGAAUCUCAUGGAAACUUACAAGAGCUCUAAACGUGCUUUCUGAAGUGUUUUAUAAGUGUUACUGAAGUGCCCGUGUGCUACUUAUGUGGUGUUCCCUGGCGUAAAAAAGUGUAUUAUCCAUUUUCUACGCGUUCUUAAGUGUUCCGCGUCUCCUACCACAAAAAGUGCCAAUUAUAUGCAGCAAAAAGAUUGUAGUGUUUGAAAAAGUACUACUGAAGAGCCAAUAUCCUACUUAAGUGGUGUUCCCUGCCAAAAAGGAGCGUUUCAUCUAUUUUCUUUGUGUUCCUUAAAAGUGUUCCGUGUCAGAAAAAAAAGUGCCAAUUGAAUACGGAGAAGUGAUUAAGUGUUUGAGAAAAGUGGUAUUGAAGAGAGUAUAUUCCCUUGCUAACGUUCCGUACUUCAAAUCCUUCCUAAAUAGUGUUCUUCUACCCAUUCAGUGUGCUCCUUAAGUGUUCCGUGCGCUUAUCAUACGGAAGUGUCUCUAAAGUGUUCUAAAAGUGCUACUGAAGAGAGUAUAUUCCCUUGCUAACGUUCCAUACUUCAAAUCCUUCGUAAAUAGUGUUCUUCUACCCCUUUAAUGUGUUCCUUAAGUGUUCCGUGCACCAAUCAUACGGAAGUGUCUCUAAAGUGUUCUAAAAGUGCUAGUGAAGUGUCUUUGUUUCGCUCCAUGUUCCGUGAGUUGCUCUAAGUGUGCCUAUUUCCAUGUGUUCCGUAAGUGCUCCGAGAUCCAAUCCCAAUACAGUGCCUAUUCUAGUGUUUCUUAACGUUCCGUCCUAUGAAUGCAAAGAACUGGUACUUAACUGUUCAACUAUUUCCAUGUGCUCCGUAAGUGUUCCGUGUUCCAAUCCCAAUACAGUGCCUAUUCUAUUUUAGUGUUCCUUAAUGUUCCGUCCUAUGAAUGCAAAGAACUGGUACUUAACUGUUCAACUAUUUCCAUGUGUUCCGUAAGUGUUCCGUGUUCCAAUCCCAAUACAGUGCCUAUUCUAUUUUAGUGUUCCUUAAUGUUCCGUCCUAUGAAUGCAAAGAACCGGGACUUAACUAUUCUACUAUUUCCGUGUGUUCCGUGAGUGUUCCGUGAUGUUCCUUGACAGAUGUUCCGUCCUCUGAAAGCAAGGGACUGGUAAUUAUAUUGUUCCGUACCUCACCAUUACCCCCAGAAAGUGACUAUUAGGUUCCGCAGCAAAUGUUCCGUAAGUGUUCCGUGUCCCAUCCCCUAUAAUGCGCCUUUUCUAGUGUUUCUCAGUGUUCCGUCCUCUGAGUGAAAGAAUCUGCUACUGAAUGUUCCGUAUCUCACCAUUCCACAAAAAAAAAGUUUCUCUGGGCAUAAGAAAACCUGUUAAGCAAUUCUUUCCUAGUGCAACAUUCCCCCUUGAAAAAGAUUAUUAUUUUUCUAAGUGUAAGAAAGACUGUUACAUCAUUCUUUUUACUUCAACAUUCCCUCCUGAAAAUGAUUGCAAUUUUUCUAAGUACAAGAAAAACCGUUACUUAAUUACUUCUUACUUCAACAUUCCCUCCUGAAAAAGAUUAUUAUUUCUCUAAGUACAAGAAAAACUGUUACUUAAUUACUUCUUACUUCAACAUUCCCCCUUGAAAAAGAUUAUAAUUUUUUUUAAGUGCGAGAAAAAAAUGUUACUUGAUUGUUCCUUACUCCAACAUUCCCUCCUGAAAAAGAUUAUAAUUUUUUUUAAGUGCGAGAAAAAAAUGUUACUUGAUUGUUCCUUACUUCAACAUUCCCUCCUGAAAAUGAUUAUACUUUCUCUAAGUGCAAGAAAGACUGUUACUUGAUUGUUCCUUACUCCAACAUUCCCUCCUGAAAACGAUUAUAAUUUCUCUAAGUGCAAGAAAGACUGUUACUUGAUUGUUCCUUACUUCAACAUUCCCUCCUGAAAAUGAUUAUAAUUUCUCUAAGUGCAAGAAAAACUGUUACUUUAUCGUUCCGUAUUGUAUCCUUCAGAAAGCUAAUUGUGUUCCGUAGCAAAUGUUCCGUCCCAUAACCUCAAGAAACUAUGAUAUCGUUCCUUAACCGUUCCACAAAUCCAGCAACUAGCCUGUUCCUUAUGUAAUCCUUAAGUGUUCCACAACUCAGAUAUUACCAAGGCGGAUAUUUUCGUCUUUUGAUUUGCAUGUGUUCCGUCAAUUCAGUAAGCCAAACGUUCCUUAGUGUUUCUUGUGUUCCAAUAGCCACACAUAUUUCGUAAGUGUUCCGUCAAUCCAGAGUCCCGCCUGUUCCGUAAGUGUUCCGUAAGUCCAGUAACUCCCGAAUGUUGCUUAAGUGUUUCAAGACCCUUAAACAUUACCACAGCGCAGAAUUUUGUCUUAUAAGUUCCGUCAAUCAAGUGUUCCGCCUGUUCCUGAGUGUUCCGCAGGUGUUUAAUUAGUGUUCCGUAAAUCCAGUAAUUCUCAAAUGUUGCUUAAGUGUUCCAGGACCCCUAAACAUUACCACAGCGAAGAAUUUUGUCUUUUAAGUUCCGUCAAUCCAGUGUUCCGCCUGUUCCUGAGUGUUCCGCAAGCGUUUAAUUAGUGUUCCGUAAAUCCAGUAAUUCUCAAAUGUUGCUUAAGUGUUCCAGGACCCCUAAACAUUACCACAGCGAAGAAUUUUGUCUUUUAAGUUCCGUCCAUCAAGUGUUCCGCCUGUUCCUGAGUGUUCCGCAAGUGUUUAAUUAGUGUUCCGUAAAUUCAGUAAUUCUCAAAUGUUGAUUAAGUGUUCCAGGACCCCUAAACAUUACCACAGCGCAGAUUUUUGUGUUUUAAGUACCGACAAUCCAGUGUGCCGUAUGUCCCAAGUGUUCCGUAAGUGUUCCGUAAAUCCAGUAACUUUCAAAUGUUGCUUAAGUGUUCCAAGACCCUUACACAUUACUACAGUUUAUCUUCUUGUCUUCUGAGUUCCGUAUUAGUUCCGUCAUCCCCGUGUGCCGCCUCCUGAGUGUUCCGCAAGUGUUCCGUCAUUCCAGUAAUUCUCAAAUGUUGCUUAAGUGUUCCAAGACCCUUACAUUACUACAGUUUAUCUUCUUGUCUUCUGAGUCCCGUAUUAGUUUCGUCAUCCCAGUGUUCCGCAAGUGUUUAAUUAGUGUUCCGUAAAUCCAGUAACUCCCGAAUGUUGCUUAAGUGUUCCAGGACCCCUAAACAUGACCACAGUUUAUCAUCUUGUCUUCUCAGUUCUAUAUUAGUUCCGUCAUCCCAGUGUGCCGCCUGUUCCGUAAGUGUUCCGUGUGUUCCGUUGCCUCGCUUGCCGCGCCUAACCCCCUCCGCUCCUCUGCAGUGUGUGUUUGUUUGUCUGUGUGUGCAGCGGUGUACAAAUUGCUGUGUAUGAUGAAUCUCGGUGUUUUUUUAUUAUAUAUAUAUUUUGUAUCUCUUUCUCUCUCUGUUUUUCUCUGUUUAAAGUUGUGUUUUUUCAGAGUAAUUUUUGUAUUUUGCUAAUUAAUAAUAAUGAUAGUAAUGAUAAUAAAGAAAAUUAAUCAA